CUUAGAACCGUGGGGACCCGCCGUGCCAUGGGAUUUCACCCCUGAACAUCUGUGGGAUCCCGAGAAACUGAGCCAGCAUUUGAGUCAGGGGCAGUGCGGCUUAGAUAGAUCAAAGGAGGCACGACUCAUCUGGGGCUUGGCUUGUGCCUACUGUGCCCUGUAUAGUACUGUUCUGGAGAGAGACAGUUUCCGAGCGGAGGUGCAAGCCGAAGGGGGAAAUCUCCAAGUCAGACCUGAUCAGUCACAACAGACACCAGUAACAGUGUCAGUAGCCCCUGUAGAAGGCAAGAAAUGGAAGCGGGUGUCCUCACGUCUAGAGCGAAAAAAGGAAGAAGAAGAAGAAGGAGAGGAAGUGGAAGAGGAGGUGGUAGAGGAAGAUCCAGGUGAGGGGACUUCCUCAGAACCAAGAAAAGCAAAAGCAAAAACUAAGAGGCACGAAGAGGACAGCGAUGAAGAGGAGAUCUCUAUUACUGUUCGUCGACCUCUCAAGAUGUCUGAGAUCCUAAGCUCAAGAAAGGAAUUUGAACGACGCCCGAAUGAAACUGUUGUCACCUGGUUGCUUCGUUGUUGGGAUAGUGGGGCCAGUAGCUUGUCUCUAGAUGGUAAUGAAGCACGCCAAUUAGGAGACAUUGCCGGAGACAAAUCCAUCGACAGAGCAAUUAGUAGAUGUUUGGAUGAAGCUGCAACCCUCUGGGACCGAAUACUAAUAGCUGUGAAGGAAAGGUAUCCCUACAAAGAACUUCUGCAGCCUGCAAAGAAAACGUGGAAUACAAUUGAGAGAGGUAUCCAGUAUUUGAGGGAAAUAGCCCUGGUGGAAAUGCUAUAUGAGUCUAAUUUUGUUCCUAAUGAUCCACGCCAAAACCAUGAUCCGGAGAGAGUGAGGACAACACCUGAAAUAUGGCAAAAACUUACGAGAGCAGCACCAGACAGAUACGCCCCCACACUAUUAGCCACAUUCCACAGAUACGAGGACCAACAGAGAAGACCCCUAGUCUUCGAAUUGAUUCUUACACUCCAAAACUAUGAGCAGCAUCUACCCCCAACCCACGUUUCCAUUUCAGCCGUCACAGAGUUAGCAAACAGACUGGGUGAUGUAGAGGAGCAGAUGUCCCUAUUGAUUAAUCGUGAUGAACCUGUAGAACCCGUAAUAGUAUCGGAAACGUUUGACGACGAUCAAGAUAAGCAAAGGGGCCUAAUGAAAGAGCUUAUCAAACUAAUGAAAAUCCAAUUAAUUAAAGAAGAUGGAUCCCCCUCCUCACCUGUAACAUCAAAAAUUUCAGCUACCGAAGGCAAACGCUUUCCUGCUCGAGUGAGAAACAACAACAGGACGGCUUCGCGUGUUGCCUUGUGGCGUUAUCUCCGUGACCAUGGAGAAGAUAUGAGGAAGUGGCACGAUCAAGAUACUCCCGUACUGCGAGCACGGGUGAGAGAACUACAGAACAGACCAACCACCAGUGUAGUUGCUCCAGUUACCACAGGUAAUGAAUAGAGGGGCCCUGCCCUCAGUCAGGGGAGGGAGAGGGAUAACAGAGUUUAUUGGACUGUGUGGAUCCGAUGGCCUGGCACAUCAGAACCACAGAAAUAUAAGGCAUUGGUGGAUACCGGUGCACAGUGCACUCUAAUGCCCUCGAAUCAUGAAGGGACAGAAUCAGUCCAUAUUUCUGGAGUGACUGGGGGUUCUCAAGAACUGACUGUGUUGGAGGCCAAAAUAAGCCUCACUGGUAAAGACUGGCAAAAGCAUCCUAUUGUGACUGGCCCAGGGGCUCCAUGCAUACUGGGUAUUGAUUACCUCAGACGGGGGCAUUUCAAGGAUCCUAAGGGGUAUCGAUGGGCCUUUGGAAUAGCUGCUGUAGAUACAGACAACAUUAAGCAGCUAUCUGUUUUGCCUGGCCUGUCAGAAGAUCCGUCUGCUGUGGGGUUGCUGCAAAGUGAGAACAGGACUCUGCAGUUAUAGAGAGAAGGGCCUCACAGCAAGAAAAGGGAAAGUAGCUUCACAAAGUAGAAAUAAGAGGCAAAUAGAGAUAGUUUAGGUAGAGAGUGUUAGAAAACAAGGGAUUCCAAGCACUUUCACAGACACUAGGUCUGGAGUAACAAGGAGGAUGAAGGCCAUAAAGAUAAGGACUGGGGAGCAGCUCAAAAACAUUUGGCAGGGAGGUGAUUAGAUGUCUACAGGGCAAGCUGAAACCGGUUCGGGGGAUGCCCCUUCCUUCAGGGUCAGAAGUUUGCAGUGAGAAAGACUACAAGCCUUCGUGAGGAAGACUACGAGCCUUCAUCAUCACGACCUACUACACAAGCGCAAGGGGGGGAAGGACUGCAUGCUAAUGGGCUCUCGGGAAUGUAAUGAAUAUGUAUCCAAAUUCCUGUCAACUAUUGAUUAUGUAUUAGUUCGACCUAUAUCUAUAGCACGAUUUCUCCUGACGGUGUGCAGGUUAGGUGGAGUGAUCCCCCUUGCACCAGGGUGUAUGCACACCACCAAUAAACACAUGCCUGCUCUAUAUCCUUACUGGCUAUAGGGUCUGAUUUCUGCAUGUCAAGAGGAGGUUCUUUGAUAUAUGUAU
ensembl:lncRNA